UGGCGGCAGGCUUAACACAUGCAAGUCGAGCGGUAGCAGAUCUAGCUUGCUAGAUGCUGACGAGCGGCGGACGGGUGAGUAACGCGUAGGAACCUGCCCAGUAGUGGGGGAUAGCCCGGGGAAACUCGGAUUAAUACCGCAUACGCUCUACGGAGGAAAGAGGGGCUUCGGCUCUCGCUAUAGGAUGGGCCUGCGUGAGAUUAGCUAGUUGGUGUGGUAAUGGCUCACCAAGGCGACGAUCUCUAGCUGGUCUGAGAGGAUGAUCAGCCACACUGGGACUGAGACACGGCCCAGACUCCUACGGGAGGCAGCAGUGGGGAAUAUUGCACAAUGGGCGCAAGCCUGAUGCAGCCAUGCCGCGUGUGUGAAGAAGGCUUUCGGGUUGUAAAGCACUUUCAGUGGGGAGGAAGGCCUCGUAGUUAAUAGCUGCGAGGAUUGACGUUACCCACAGAAGAAGCACCGGCUAACUCCGUG
rnacentral:rRNA from 1 species